rnacentral:rRNA from 1 species
UUCGGGCGUGGUCCGGCUAAGUCCCUUGGCACAGGGCGUCAUAGAGGGUGAGAACCCCGUAUGUGGCCGGGUGCCUAGGCCCGUGUGAAGCUCCCUCGACGAGUCGAGUUGUUUGGGAUUGCAGCUCAAAAUGGGUGGUAAAUUUCAUCUAAAGCUAAAUACCGGCCAGAGACCGAUAGCGCACAAGUAGAGUGAUCGAAAGAUGAAAAGCACUUUGGAAAGAGAGUUAAACAGUACGUGAAAUUGUUGAAAGGGAAGCGCUUGCGACCAGACUUGGGCGCGGCCGAUCAUCCGGCGUUCUCGCCGGUGCACUCGGCCGCGUGCCAGGCCAGCAUCGGUUCCGGCGGCCAGACAAAGGCCGGGCGAACGUGGCUCCCCCCGGGGAGUGUUAUAGCGCCCGGCGCCAUGUGGCCUGCUGGGACCGAGGACCGCGCCUCUGGCUAGGAUGCUGGCGUAAUGGUCGCAAGCGACCCGUCUUGAAACACGGACCAAGGAGUGGAAUAAUCAUGCGAGUGUUUGGGUGCAAAACCCAUGCGCGAAAUGAAAGUGAACGGAGGUGAGAGCCCGCCAGGGCGCAUCAUCGACCGAUCCUGAUGUCUUCGGAUGGAUUUGAGUAAGAGCAUGGCUGUUCCGACCCGAAAGAUGGUGAACUAUGCGUGGAUAGGGUGAAGCCAGAGGAAACUCUGGUGGAGGCUCGCAGCGGUUCUGACGUGCAAAUCGAUCGUCAAAUCUGUGCAUAGGGGCGAAAGACUAAUCGU